CCUACGGGAGGCAGCAGUGGGGAAUAUUGCGCAAUAGGCGAAAGCCUGACGCAGCCAUGACGCGUGUGUGAAGAAGGCCUUCGGGUUGUAAAGCACUUUCAAUUGGGAAGAAAGGUUGCGUGUUAAUAGCACGUAGCUGUGACGUUACCUUCAGAAGAAGCACCGGCUAACUCCGUGCCAGCAGCCGCGGUAAU
rnacentral:rRNA from 1 species